CACCAGCCAAGAGGGAAAAGAGGGAAAACAUUAAGGCACCAGUUAAUAAUACUCUUAACAGCUGGUUUGGCAUCAGUGAAACCUACCCUACGCUUAACAUAAUACAUUGUGAGUGGCUUGACAAUGCUAUCCAGGAUCAGUUGUAAGGGCCAUAGAAAACUCCACAGAGGGUGGUGGUAAAGCUGUAGUCUGCAAGCAGAUGGCAGAUAGCAUUGAUCGGAUCCAAGACCUGAUAAGGGUGAAGGAUAGAUGUGCUGCUCGGGAAACAGAAAGAAGAGGUGAGAGGAAAGAUCCCCCUGACCCCCCUCGCCCCAGAAGAGAAAUCCACACUACUGACUGCUAUCGACCAGUCCCAGACAAUGUAAUUUAAUUCUAAUAGCAUGUAUCGCUAAUAAUCCUGAUGUAAUGUUCAAUAUGCAAGGGGUUCAAUACGCAGGUCUUUGGGGUCAGGGGGCCUAGCCGAGAUCCAAGCACAUUUGAGGGCCCUCGACAUUCUCAUUCACAUCGGUAUGUGACGUGACAAUGAGGUUAAAGGUCGAUCCUGGUAUUUCAUGCAUGAGUCAAGUAGUUGGACUAAACCUUCAGAAUUGGAUUAAGACACAGCAGGUUAAUUCUUUACUGAGAGGGGAACACCAUUGGUUGAAAAACCCUCGCCUAUGCCCAUAUACAUAGAUGCACGCACUCUCUCUCUUUCUUAUACAAACACAUUUUGUUAUUUCUUUCUAAAAUAAGCACUACGUAAUGCCGGUCAGUGAGUGAAUUAUAUAGUGCUGACACGUCUUUUCUGGAAUGAGAAGCUCUUGGUCAAGGUUCAUUGGCCUCUACAGAGAAAGCUCAUAAUCUUACAGAUGGCCGCAUACUCAGACUCAAGAAUUACAGUUUUACAUUUUCUAAAGAAAUUGCAUUGCUUUUGUGAUUCUUCCAGUGUUUCGAGUGAUGUUUUUAUCUUGUUAUGCAUUUGCUAAGCUUUUCUGGGUCAUUGCUUACUCAAGUCGAAAAAAGCCCACCUUCAAGUCUAUGAUAUUCAGGUCUCUAGAGGCGGCUCAGCCCCCUUUUCAAUGCAAGUCCAUGGGAUUUUUUUCUCGUUUUUCCAUCCCCCAGGCAAAAACUGUAAGUCUGCUAAGAAAAGUAAUAUCACAUCUCUCCUCAACAAGCCCUAAAAUCUGAGAAUACGGUACAAGCCUAAAGUUAAAAUAUAGAGGGUUAGGGGUUUCUACCCAAUUCCCAACCCCAAGUAGUUUUACAGUAAUACAUCCUUUAAAUCAUUUUCAGCCACACAAACUAAAAAAGGGUAGGGAUGUGUCAUCUUUUUCCAAUGUGCUGCAUUGUCUUAUGUCAGUGGCUGGAUAAACAGGACAAACACAGCUUGUCGUUGCCAUAUUAAAAUCAUGACCAUCUGAGCAGAUCUGAUCCUAUCAUUCGGGAUCCCAGCUGAGACCUCCAGUCUGGUGAGGGACAAAAAGCCGCAUCUCAUCUGGACGAGGGCCAUAACAAACACAACUUGGCCUGACCCUUCAAUUUCUAAGCCUAGCUCAAGCCAAAGCCCUUUUUUAUACACUCAAUAAAUCGGUAAAGAAAAUGUUAAUGAAUUAGUCACAACAUCACAUAGUCCUUGCACGUAGUGCUAAUGCAUUUAAAAAUAUACAACAGAAAAAGGCCAACUACUAAGACGGAUAAAAUAUACAUGGUAGUGAAAUCUCUAUUCCUACCAUAUUCCUAUGACGUAAAGUAUAUAAAUAUCACACACACACACACACACACGUUCUCGGAGAUAUUCAUUUGUCUGCCUUUAACACAUACUACUUGUAGAAACGUACAAGCAAGAAGAAAAGUAAAUGGAGAAACAAUUUUAUUAUCACUUCCUCUGAUCUGAUACAGACAGCUCAAAACACUUCAGGCCUGACUGGCUUUAUUGUGUUAGUUUGACGUCUCCAUAGAUUUGAAGCGAUGAUAAUAAAUUGAAAGAGCAAAUUAAAUAACUUGUGCUUUAUGAUAAACUCAGUCAAAUAGCUAUUAUUCUUAGAACUGAUAUGGUUUGAACUAAAAAGAUAGAAAAUAAUACUUACUGUUGUAAUAAUCUGGCAGCAAAUGCUAUGAAUUACAGUAUGGGAAUGAUGCUAGUGCUAAAAAACCGCUGCACAAAAUUGAAUAACUGCACAAAUAAAUUUUGGUUAAUGUUUUGGUGAUGAUGUAACUGUGACGUUACGUAAUACGUAGCUCAGGAACCAGGUAAGGGCGCAAAGUGCAGCACGACAACAUGACGUAAAGUGACUAACGUUAGUACUGGAGCUUUAAAAUUGCAUAACUUACUGACACCCCUGACACUCGAGUCGAAAGCAGGUUAGCAGUGACAAGCUUGAAGGGUCAUCUUCAUCUAUACAGCCCGUCAUACAUCCUGCUGCAACAUCAUCUGCUUUCACGUCCUGUGGGCAGCAUAUCUUCUAACAGGACAUUGUUCCACCAAUGUUUCCACCAAGCGAAGACUUCCACGCUGCUCGCGGGGCUCACCGCGUAUCUCUCUCGGCCAGCAGCGCCUUGAUGUCAGCCAUGCAUCUCUUCUGCAUCCACCGCGAAUCCCAAUCAUAAUUAAAAUCUUGUGUGGAAGCGGGAGCAAUGGAAGCUAAUUAGGGACAAACACUUUCUUUUUCUCUGGCACCAAUCAAAAAGAAAAAAGAGCACUGGCUGCUUCUGUAACCCUGUGAUGUUUGGCUGGGGCACGGGGGUGUGGAGCAAGAAGGAGGAACCGUCAGAAACACAGUGCGUUUUCAUUUUUUCUAUACUUUAACGCUUUUUUUGAUCAUGGUGAGCAUCGCAACACAGCUUGCUCACACUGCAGUUCUGUGUGAAUUAUAUCUGUCUAACUCACUGAAUGAUCAGAGGGUGGAUGGUACGGAGCAACAAGCAAAGGAGCGUGGGUGUGGGACACUGUCUGCAUCUAGAAAUAAACUUCAUUUCGUUCCUCCCUGUCUGGGUAAUUAGGCGUUAGAGUAAGCAUGUGUGAGUGUUUAGUGUUUAUAUCUGGCUAUGUUUUGGCCAAUAAAUAGCUAGUAUUGUACAAAGCUUCUGUAUUACCAAGGUUAUGUACUCUUUCAUAAUGACUUAGUGUUGCUUAUCAGUCCUUCCAGAAAAAUGUUUUUUUUUUGUGAUUGUUGCAUCCAAAAUCCUUGAUCGUUUUCUUAAAAAAUGCAAUAGAAUAUGUGGGAUAUUUAUGCAAUUUAAUGUGAUGAAAUUGUGGGAACUUGCAAAAAUUGCGGGAACUUGCAAAAAUUGCGGGAACUUGCAAAAAUUGCGGGAACUUGCAAAAACUGCGGGAACUUGCAAAAACUGUUUUUAGCUUUUGCAGCGUUUCAAUGAUGUUCACGUCACAUAAUCACGUCACUUCAUAACGUUCCCAUGGCAACAUGGGACAUGGCUGCGCUUGUGUGAGGUAAAUGCAACAUUUUUCUGCUAAGAUAUAUGUGAUUUUUGCUACGAAAAUGCGGGUAUUAUGAAAUCAUGCAAGCCCCGCAUAUUUUGUGCACGGAAAUCUGCAAUUUAUGCUGUGAAAGUGCGGCGUAGUUGAAAAAAUGCAUGUCCUGCAUAAAUAUGCGGACUAUGGCUGAUGCGUUAAAUCAUGCGAUCGCAUAAUCAUGUUUUUCUGGAGGGACUGGCAUAUAAAGAAAAACAUUAAAGUAGGGAUGCACCGAUAUGGAAAUUUUGGCCGAUAACCGAUAAUUCUUUAUAUUUGGGGGC